GAUGAACGCUAGCGGCAGGCUUAAUACAUGCAAGUCGAGGGGCAGCGGGGAUAGCAAUAUCUGCCGGCGACCGGCAAACGGGUGCGGAACACGUACGCAACCUUCCCGAAACAGGUGAAUAGCCCUCCGAAAGGAGGAUUAAUACACCGUGAGAUAUAGAGAUGGCAUCAUUUUUAUAUUAUAGGUAGCAAUACCGGUUUUGGAUGGGCGUGCGCCUGAUUAGGUAGUUGGCGGGGUAACGGCCCACCAAGCCUCCGAUCAGUAACUGGUGUGAGAGCACGACCAGUCACACGGGCACUGAGACACGGGCCCGACUCCUACGGGAGGCAGCAGUAAGGAAUAUUGGUCAAUGGACGGAAGUCUGAAACCAGCCAUGCCGCGUGAAGGAUGAAAGGCCCUCUGGGUUGUAAAACUUCUUUUAUCUGGGACGAAAAAGGGAUUCUUUCUCACUUGACGGUACCAGAGGAAUAAGCACCGGCUAAACUCCGUGCCAGCAGCCGCAGUAAC
rnacentral:rRNA from 1 species